rnacentral:rRNA from 1 species
AGGUGUCGGGGGAAUCGACCCCCUCGGUGUCGUAGCCAACGCGUUAAGUGUUCCGCCUGGGGAGUACGCACGCAAGUGUGAAACUCAAAGGAAUUGAACGGGGGCCCGCACAAGCGGUGGAGUAUGUGGUUUAAUUCGAUGCAACGCGAAGAACCUUACCAGGGUUUGACAUCCUGCGAAUCCCUUGGAAACGAGGGAGUGCCUUCGGGAGCGCAGAGACAGGUGGUGCAUGGCUGUCGUCAGCUCGUGUCGUGAGAUGUUGGGUUAAGUCCCGCAACGAGCGCAACCCACGUCGUUAGUUGCCAGCAUUUAGUUGGGCACUCUAGCGAGACCGCCGGUGAUAAACCGGAGGAAGGUGUGGAUGACGUCAAGUCAUCAUGCCCCUUACAUCCUGGGCUACACACGUACUACAAUGCUACGGACAAAGGGCAGCAAACUCGCGAGAGCUAGCAAAUCCCAUAAACCGUGGCUCAGUUCAGAUCGUAGGCUGCAACUCGCCUACGUGAAGGAGGAAUCGCUAGUAAUCGCAGGUCAGCAUACUGCGGUGAAUACGUUCCCGGGCCUUGUACACACCGCCCGUCACACCAUGGAAGUUGGCCACGCCCGAAGCCGUUACUCCAACCCUUGUGGAGGAGAACGUCGAA